UUGGAGGGCAAGUCUGGUGCCAGCAGCCGCGGUAAUUCCAGCUCCAAUAGCGUAUAUUAAAGUUGUUGCAGUUAAAAAGCUCGUAGUUGAAUUUCGGGAUCAAUAUGUUGGUCGUGCCUUGGUACGUACUAGUUUAUUGGUUUCUUCCUUCUGACGAACCAUGAUGUCAUUAAUUUGGUGUCUUGGGGAAUCAGGACUGUUACUUUGAAAAAAUUAGAGUGUUUAAAGCAGGCUCACGCUUGAAUACAUUAGCAUGGAAUAAUGAAAUAGGACGUUUGAUUCUAUUUUGUUGGUUUCUAGGAUCGACGUAAUGAUUAAUAGGGAUAGUUGGGGGCAUUAGUAUCCAAUUGUCAGAGGUGAAAUUCUUGGAUUUAUUGAAGACUAACUACUGCGAAAGCAUUUGCCAAGGAUGUUUUCAUUAAUCAAGAACGAAAGUUAGGGGAUCGAAGACGAUCAGAUACCGUCGUAGUCUUAACCAUAAACUAUGCCGACUAGGGAUCGGAUGAUGUUAAUUUUUUAAUGACUCAUUCGGCGCCUUACGGGAAAC
rnacentral:rRNA from 1 species